rnacentral:tRNA from 1 species
GCGUUUGUGGUUUAGUGGUAAAAUCCAUCGUUGCCAUCUCUGAGCGAUCAGAGAGCAGCUUCGAUGGGCCCCGGGUUCGAUUCCCGGCGAACGCA